rnacentral:lncRNA from 1 species
AAGUGGGAUGCAAAUGAAGGGAAUGCAUGUAUGCAAUGUGAAGGCAUGAUGUGAGAAAAAUAAUAAAAAUAAUAGGAUGUAAGUGGAGGUGUGCAAAUGUAUUUACAAGUGUUCGUGUGCAAGUGAAGGGAUAAAAAGGUGCAUGGGUGCAAAUGAGACAAAAGUGAAAGUGUGCAAGUGAAGGGAUAAAAGGUGUACGUGUGCAAAUGAAGGGAUAAGAGGUGUACGUGUGCAAAUGAGAGGAGAAGUGAAAGUAUAAAAUGAUAAAGUGGAAAAAAAAAAAUGCAU